rnacentral:rRNA from 1 species
UAGGGAAUCUUCGGCAAUGGACGAAAGUCUGACCGAGCAACGCCGCGUGAGUGAAGAAGGUUUUCGGAUCGUAAAACUCUGUUGUUAGAGAAGAACAAGGACGUUAGUAACUGAACGUCCCCUGACGGUAUCUAACCAGAAAGCCACGGCUAACUACGUGCCAGCAGCCGCGGUAAUACGUAGGUGGCAAGCGUUGUCCGGAUUUAUUGGGCGUAAAGCGAGCGCAGGCGGUUUCUUAAGUCUGAUGUGAAAGCCCCCGGCUCAACCGGGGAGGGUCAUUGGAAACGGGGAGACUUGAGUGCAGAAGAGGGGAGUGGAAUUCCAUGUGUAGCGGUGAAAUGCGUAGAUAUAUGGAGGAACACCAGUGGCGAAGGCGGCUCUCUGGUCUGUAACAGACGCUGAGGCUAGAAAGCGUGGGGAGCAAACAGG